AACGAACGCUGGCGGCAGGCUUAACACAUGCAAGUCGAGCGCCCCGCAAGGGGAGCGGCAGACGGGUGAGUAACGCGUGGGAACGUACCCUUUGCUACGGAAUAGCUCCGGGAAACUGGAAUUAAUACCGUAUGUGCCCUACGGGGGAAAGAUUUAUCGGCAAAGGAUCGGCCCGCGUUGGAUUAGCUAGUUGGUGGGGUAAUGGCGUACCAAGGCGACGAUCCGUAGCUGGUCUGAGAGGAUGAUCGGCCACAUUGGGACUGAGACACGGCCCAAACUCCUACGGGAGGCAGCAGUGGGGAAUAUUGGACAAUGGGCGCAAGCCUGAUCCAGCCAUGCCGCGUGAGUGAUGAAGGCCUUAGGGUUGUAAAGCUCUUUCGCCGGCGAAGAUAAUGACGGUAGUCGGAGAAGAAGCCCCGGCUAACUUCGUGCCAGCCGCCGCAGUAACAC
rnacentral:rRNA from 1 species